ensembl:misc_RNA Y_RNA Y RNA
GGCUGGUCUGAGUACAGUGGCAUUUACAACUAACUGAUAACAACCAGUUACGAAUUUCUUCGUUCCUUUUCCACUCACACUGCUUCACUUGACCAGCUUUAA